AAAAAGUUGAUGGUGGAAUAAAGUAUCAUAAUCAUUGUAGUUUUAUACUGCUUAUCAGGACAUUGGGUUAAUGCUCUGUCAAUAUAAAGUGCAUAGUUAUCAAUUCAUUAUGCGGAUCAGAGCAGUGUUAUUUGUUUGUUUACAAAUUUUAAUUAAUAAGGAAAUUUUCGCACAAUGCUUUGAAUAUGUGCCGUCAAAUAUGCAUGCGUACUAUGGCUUAGGUCCUAGUUAUUACAAUUACAAACCUAGAGUCUACGAUGGAUUCAACAGGCAAUAUAAAAUGGAGAAUUUCAAUUUACCUCCGCCCUCAAUAAGCAUAUCUGCCGACGGAUUGAUUAUUAAUGGAGCCAUCUCAGUUUCGGGGACCUUACCAUUUCUGAGCUCUGUUUCGGUACAAGGAGAAUUGCCAAUGACUGGUUCGGGCGUUGUGGAAUUUAGUACUGGUAACAAUGAGGUCGUCAUAAAUCGAGAGUUGCCGGGGUACGCAAAUCGUUACAGUUAUAUGUCAUAUCAUUAAUCUGUUAUUAAAUGCUGUUUUUAUUUA